UAUAUAAGAGGCUUGUAGCACCCAGGCACCUGUGCGUUCUUCGGCUCAUCGGGUACUCCUAAUAUUGAAUAUUGGUGUUGUCUCAAAGCCUGCAUUCGACUAUCGUCGAGGAAUGAAGGAUCAUUUCAUCCCCAAAUUUGCCCUAAUUUUAGCUCUCUCGCUGGUUUGAGAUUUUCCCAAAUACCCCAUAAAGAGCCGUUG